rnacentral:rRNA from 1 species
AGGACGAACGCUGGCGGCGUGCUUAACACAUGCAAGUCGAGCGGACCUUGUUGAAAGCUUGCUGGAAACAAAGGUUAGCGGCGGACGGGUGAGUAACGCGUGAGCAAUCGUGUCCCAGUACAGGGGGAUAAUACCGCGAAAGUGGUUCUAAUACCGCAUGAGACCACGGCGAGGCAUCUCGGUGGGGUCAAAGGAGCAAUCCGGUAUGGGGUGAGCUCGCGUCCGAUUAGAUAGUAGGUGAGGUAACGGCCCACCUAGUCGACGAUCGGUAGCCGACCUGAGAGGGUGAUCGGCCACAUUGGGACUGAGACACGGCCCAGACUCCUACGGGAGGCAGCAGUGGGGAAUAUUGGGCAAUGGGGGAAACCCUGAACCCCCAGCAACGCCGCGUGGAGGAAGAAGGUCUUCGGAUCGUAAACUCCUGUCCUAUGGGAAGAGGAGAAGACUGUACUAUAGGAGGAAGCCCCGGCUAACUACGUGCCAGCAGCAGC